UGAGUUUGUUGCGUAUUUAUGCCCAUUAUUGUAAUAAUUAAAAACAAUAGUGGUAGAGUUGGUUGCGCAUUUUUGUUGACUAUUAUAAUAAGUACAACACUACUGGUUGAAUUUGUUGUUUCAGUUUGUUAUUUAUUUAU